AUGAACGCUGGCGGCGUGCCUAAUCCAUGCCAGUCGAGCGCACAGACGAGGAGCUUGCUCCUCUGACGUUAGCGGCGGACGGGUGAGUAACACGUGGAUAACCUACCUAUAAGACUGGGAUAACUUCGGGAAACCGGAGCUAAUACCGGAUAAUAUAUUGAACCGCAUGGUUCAAUAGUGAAAGACGGUUUUGCUGUCACUUAUAGAUGGAUCCGCGCCGCAUUAGCUAGUUGGUAAGGUAACGGCUUACCAAGGCAACGAUGCGUAGCCGACCUGAGAGGGUGAUCGGCCACACUGGAACUGAGACACGGUCCAGACUCCUACGGGAGGCAGCAGUAGGGAAUCUUCCGCAAUGGGCGAAAGCUUGACGGAGCAACGCCGCGUGAGUGAUGAAGGUCUUCGGAUCGUAAAACUCUGUUAUUAGGGAAGAACAAAUGUGUAAGUAACUAUGCACGUCUUGACGGUACCUAAUCAGAAAGCCACGGCUAACUACGUG
rnacentral:rRNA from 1 species